rnacentral:lncRNA from 1 species
CAAGCUCUCUCAGCGUUCAGACUCUUGGCAUGGACGGUGAGCCCGGAGGCCAUCACUUCACUCAAAUGGCUGACAAUUCGUGAACCAGGUCUGGUGGCGCCUUUGAUGCAACCACCGCUGCUGCAAUACAAGGUGCUAAUCCAUAUCGUUUGGUGAAGGAUUGUAGUGGAUGGGAUGAGCCGCUAUUCCCGGGAAUCUCGUCGGAGAGCGAGGGGAAUAGAGUUCCAUCAGACGGCAGAAUCAGCGGUGGCGUCGUGCCGGACAUAGCGUCACGUCGCAGAUCUUGGAAGUUUGGGAUCACAGAUACACGGGGAGCGGCAACACACGGCACCGGUGCUACCCUGACGAGCUCGGCGACGGCCGCUGGAGUUGUGGCUACCGGAGUUGAUUGGCGUCUGCCUCCCAUGGAGGCCAGGACUGUGGUCUCGGCAGGUGGGCCCUCCACGCUGAUCAAGGACAGACUUUCGGUCAGGGUCUACUUUUGACCGUCUGAACACCCAAGUUGGCCCCACAACUGCCAUGGAAGGCAGCGACAACUGAUGGGAUUAUAACCCUAGGGUAGGGUCGUAGGCGUGACCUAUAAGACCGUGUUUCUUUAAAAAGUCCUAGGACUUUUUUUAGUCAUAACUAAAAAGUCUCUAGUCCCUAUCCGUUUCUUUUCAAGAACUAAACAUGGACUAGAGGUCAUUAAAUGACAUGCAAAAAGACCAGGUUACCCCUAGUAAUAUACUAGAAGUUAUUAAAUGACAUGCUAAAAGUAGGAGCACUGUUGGAAAAAAGUGCUAAAAAAGUCCCAAAAAGUCCCUCCC